CGCGGGAUUGGACGGGGUGCAGCAGGCGCGAAACCUCCUCAAUGCACUAACGUGCGAAGGGGUUACCUCGAGUGCCACCUGAAGAAGGUGGCUUUUCCUUGGUCUAAAAAGCCUCGGGAAUAAGAGGGGGGCAAGACUGGUGUCAGCCGCCGCGGUAACACCAGCCCCUCGAGUGGUGGGGAUGAUUAUUUGGCCUAAAGCGUCCGUAGCCGGCCGGGUAAGUCUCCCGUUAAAUCCAACGUCUCAAGCGUUGGACUGCGGGAGAUACUGCCUGGCUAGAGAGUGGGAGAGGUCAGCGGUAUUCUGGGGGUAGGGGCGAAAUCCUUUGAUCCCCGGAGGACCACCAGUGGCGAAGGCUGCUGACUAGAACACGUCUGACGGUCAGGGACGAAAGCUGGGGUAGCGAACCGGAUUAGAUACCCGGGUAGUCCCAGCCGUAAACGAUGCAUGCUAGGUGUUGGGUUGGCCACGAGCCACCCCAGUGCCGCAGGGAAGCCCGUUAAGCAUGCCGCCUGGGAAGUACGAUCGCAAGAUUGAAACUUAAAGGGAUGGGCGGGGGAGCACCACCAGGCGUGAAGCCUGCGGUUUAAUUGGAGUCAACGCCGGGAACCUUACCGGAAGCGACAGCAGAGUGAAGGCCAGAUUGAAGAUCUUGCCAGACGAGCUGAGAGGAGGUGCAUGGCCGUCGCCAGUUCGCGCCGUGAGGUGUUCUCUUAAGUGAGAUAACGAACGAGACCCGCGCCACAUGUUGCCAUCAGAAUCUAAAGGAUUGCUGGGCACUCUUGUGGGACCGCAGCCGAUAAGGCUGAGGAAGGGGCGGGCAACGGCAGGUCAGUAUGCCCCGAAUCUUCCGGGCCACACGCGGGCUGCAAUGGUAUGGACAGAGGGCUGCCACCCCGAGAGGGGGAGCCAAUCCCUAAACCAUACCUCAGUUGGGAUUGAGGGCUGCAACCCGCCCUCAUGAACAUGGAAUGCCUAGUAACUGCCAGUCAUCAUCUGGCGGUGAAUACGUCCCUGCUCCUUGCACGAAUUCGCCGAAUCACUAGU
rnacentral:rRNA from 1 species